GGGGAGGCGACCGGAGAUGUGGGUGGGAGAACGAAAAGCAAGUGAACAAAGAACACAUAUACAUAGUUGUGUAUACUUUGACGCGAAAUUUCAAAAACCAUUGUAAUAUUUAGUGACAAUCAACAUUCAAGAGUGAGAAAAAAGUCAAUCAUUCAAUUCAAAUAUUUAACACAAUUAACAAAAAAAUAAAACCUAAAAUGUUGUAAGAUCAUAGGGAAAAUGAAUGAUCACACCAACAUGACUUAUAUUUCUGCCACAAUAACAUGAUGCAAAUUUCUGAUAUACAAGUUUCAACAUAAUAAACCAGUAGCCUGCUACAUCCUGCACCUUGUUUUUUAAAUCACUGGAAGCCAAUUUCAGCUUCUUCAAAAUCACACACUGACUGUGCUACCACUAGAUCAUAGACUAAAAUCAAAAUAUUUACAAUUCUCCAACCACCAUUUAUAUUUUAUUUAGCUUCUUCAACCUAAAUCUGUCAAAAAUCUAGCUACAUGAAAUUUUAGGUUGAUUCAAUUAAUUCUUUAUUCAACUUCUACCCACUGCAACACCAUUACCAACAAGGAUAUGAGGAUCAAAACUUUUAAACUCAAAAACCAAGUAGCUUAAAAACAUAGUAGACACUCUUUUGUUGGUUGUGAAAAUGUUAAAUAUUUAAUCCCUGUUAUGUCUUGCGCUGGUUACUAAAGUUGAUUGAUAAUAAUUAACAUCCAUAAUGUCUAUACUUAAUUAUACAAUUCAUUUAGUAGUAAUUGAAUUUUAGUCAACUCCUUGAAUGUCUAUUCAUUUAAUGCGUUUUGCAUUUUUUACAACAGUUAUAUCACAACAGCAACAGCCACAUUUCCAUUUCAAACAAUUGCAACUGUGUAAAACUUAAAUGUUGUUAAAUAAGGUAUAAUAUUUAAAUAUUAAUAAGCAAGCAGUACAAUAAAUCAAUCACGAAAUAGUGCUAAAACUGCAUCCUUCAACUUCUAAACCAGCUAGAACAAAUAACAGAAAAUAUAAGAAAUUUGCUGCAGUGAAUAACUACUACAGUUUAAUGUGCUCCCAAAAAAGGAAAUCAGCCCACCUUUGUACAAGAACAAAGUUAUCAAUUCAGCGCCAUUUGAAAAAGAAAUUUGAAACAUUAGAAAACGUCAACAUAGAGCAUCCAAAUCAUAGAAUCAUAUAAUGAAGG
rnacentral:misc_RNA from 1 species